rnacentral:rRNA from 1 species
AAUCCAGUGUUACUGUCCCAGUUUCGGCCUGCCAGUCUUUGCAAUGUUUUAUAUAAGAUUGCGUCCAAAGUCAUUGCUAACCGUUUGAAGCUAGUGUUGCCGCAAAUAAUUUCUAAAGAACAGUCCGCUUUUGUUCCGGGGCGGCUGGCGUAUGAGUGCUUGCGUUUCAUGAAGAGGGAUAAGGCACAGAAGCACACACAUGGUGCACUAAACCUUCAUAUGAUGAAAGCAUAUGACCGAGCAGAGUGGGAGUAUCUAGAGGCUAUAAUGCUCAAACUUGGUUUUCGGGAGAAUUGGGUCAAGAUUAUAAUGGGAAUGGUCAGGUCGGUUUCUUUUUCAGUACUCUCCAAUGGUCAGAAGCUAGAAGAGUUUAAACCAACAUAUGGGCUUCGUCAAGGUGAUCCUAUUUCACCGUAUCUUUUUUCUUUUCUUCUUGCAGCAGAAGGCCCUUUGUGCCUUACUGGGUAUCACGGGACACUAUGUGCAUGCCAAAAUGCAUGGGCGCCCUAG